UCCGGUUUGGCACCGGCAGUCUCCCAUGAGUCCCCGGCAUGAUCCGCUGGCAACAUGGGAAAGGGGUUGCGCUCGUUGCGCCACUUAAGGCAACACCUCACGGCACGAGCUGACGACAGCCAUGCAGCACCUGUGCGGGCUCCCGAAGGAGCGCCGUGUUUCCACGGCUUUACCCCGCAUGUCAAGCCCUGGUAAGGUGGGGAUGACGUAGCUAAGCCUUC
rnacentral:misc_RNA from 1 species